ensembl:lncRNA
GGGAGAGGGAGAAGAGAAAGCACUUAGUGUUCUCACCAUUUCAAGACGCAUGACUGAAAGAAAAGGGAGAGAGAGAUAAAGAGAUCCAGAGAGGGUGCUCGGGGAAAUCCUGGCUGGACACCAGAUUGCUGCACACUCCCCUGCAGCCACUUUGCUUGGAGAACUAACACAGGUCUAUAAAGGGAGCUCUGAGCCCGGGACCCUCAGCAACCUCAACCAGAGUAAUUUGCAAUAGAGGUGGCCAAGGACCUGUAACAGUGUUGCCCAGAGACUCAGGAGAAAGGGUGCUCUGGGCUGAAUCUCUCCAUCCAAGGGCCAGGAUCACAGAGCAGAAGCCAAGAACAAAGCCUGGGUAGAUGUCUGAGGCAAGAGAGAGGCAGCCACACUUAGACAAAAGGAGGAGUGCAGCCUUCAGCAUCUGUUCCAGGCCUGUCAGCUCCUCCAGUCCGGUGGCCCCUGCGUGCCUCCAAGGCUCCCAGAAGCUGCAAACAACAGCCAGACCUUAGAGAUGGAGGAAAUUUCAUUCACCAGAAUUCCCCUAAGGAGCCCUUAUCCUGUUAAGAGCAAACUCUUUGGAAAAACCAGAAGGCAAAACAUGAGCUAUCUAUCAGCCUGUUGUCUGGGAAUAUGCACAUGAGGUGAAAGCCGGUACUAAAGUCAUCUUGGAAGCCAAAAGUCACAAAUUUGGUGGACAUAGGUCAAGCAGUUAAGAGCCAUUAGGGCACUCGCCACCCGAAGAAAACUCCCAUAACAGGAUAAGUUGGAUCACAGAAUGGCGUAGAUGACACAGGUCCCCCAUCAACUUCAAGAAAAUGUCUGUGCAAUGAUGAGGUACUGUGUAAAGCAAACACAAUCCCCAACCCUGCGGCACCUCCUUCCUAAGUAUUAAUCUGACUCCAAGUGCCCCAAGGCUUAGCUAAAGCUAUUAAUGUGCACCUAAGAUGAGACUUUUGUUUUGUCUUGUUCUAUGUCUUAAGAGCUUGGCUUUGUGAACUUUCUGGUCUCUGCCAUCCAGAGGGUGCAUGGACGGGCAUACAUCUUGGCAGCCUGUUGAAUAGACUGGGGUUCCAAGACGCGCUCUUUCUCUGAUUGUGCCAGUUCUCAGGGGAGUUUGUCAUAAUGGGCCCCAGUUGCUUUAAGAAAGGGCCUUUGCUGUCUCAACCUUUGUUGCCUUUUGUGCAAUGAUGGCCUUUUCUUUCUUAGAACUAUUUUUUGGAGUGAACUUUCUGGAUCUCUUUUGGGGACACCUCUUGCAUCUGCAGUUAAGCUUAUUGGCAUGAGUCACUAUGAAGAUCCUACUCAUCAAUUUGGUCAGAUGAUGGAUGAAUCAUUUAAAUUGGAAAAAAAAUUUUGAGAGCUCUCAUCAUAAUUGUUUUGUUGGUAUCUGUAAAAAGGCCAAAUUACAAAAGGAAAUAAGUGAAAAAUAAUGACUAGCCUUAAGACCCUAUUUGGCCUACAAUUAAAUUGAGAAAAUGCAAAAGUAUAAGUGUUGAUAAAAUUGUGAAGGUUGGAAUGUUUGAGCUAAUUUUAUAUAGAGGUUAUAUCAACUUUGCCUGAAUAUGUUUUUAAAAUGUCAACUGGGAAUGCUUCCUCUAUCCAAAAUUAUAAGGUCCUAAUGAAAACUAUGAUUAGAGGUAAAGAGUUCAUGGAGUCCGGAUGAAAUUUUGUAGAAAAAUUUAUAUAUUUACAGGCUUUAUGUGAAGUGAUUGUAUCUCUUUUUGCCCAAUUGUAUUAUAGAUUGUGUUGUGAGGAUAGACAUUGUGUCUCACUGGGGAAUGUUUCCCCUGCCUAAUUGUAAGAUCCCAUAUAAAUCUGCCCUUCAGACAGUGUUAAUUAAACAUACUAAAGAGAAGUCAGUCAGGAUGACUGAGUCCACACAGAAUGAGAUAAAAACUAGAGGCUAACAUCAGGUGCUAAAAAAAAUAAUAAAACUACCUCCCCUCCAACAUAAAUUGCUCUAGGGUUAAAUUGUACACUUAAAAAGACAGACUUUGUUAAAUGCUUUGUUCUGUCUUUUAAAGGUGUGGUACAUUGUCUUAAAGUUUUAAAACAAUAGCUGUAGAAUCUUUGUUUAUGUAUGUCUACAUGUGUGUGAUAUUUUACCUCUGGAUAGUAUGGCCAAAAUAAGAGCUCUAUUUAAUUGGCUUAAAGUAAGUGCUUACAUAAUUUCUGAAUGUAAAAGAAACUAAUUCAAAUGUCUUUCAAGUUAAUACAAUAUGAAAUCAUCUUUGGUGAAUGAAAGCUUAAGUUUGUUGGUUUGAUUAAAAUAGGUAUGCCUGGAGAGUUAUCAGCAUUGGAUAUGAUGCAGACAUACAGCCUGGGCUAACUAAUGAAAUAAGCUCAUGUUAUCCCUGUUACAAAUUUGUCAGCAAAAAUAGCUUAAAAUGAUAGCUAAUUUUGUCUAAUGUCUCAUGAAGUUUUUGUGAGUAAUCUAAACAUAAUUGUUGGGAAUAAAUGAUUUAGAGUUUGUAGAUAAACUUUUAGCAAUAACUAUCAUUUGUGGCAUGUGUAUUUAAAGUAACUUCUAAAAUCUCUUUGGUAACUGGAAACUUUGAAGUUUCACUAGGUUAAAUUAAAUGACAAAAAUUAAUUGAGUAUCUAGACCAUUUCCAAAUAAGAUAAAAUACUGAAACCAUAAUUGCUAAACAUGUCUAAAUUUACCUACUUUUGUCUUAUUACAAAGAAACUAAAAAGUGUUUGGAUCUAGUAAAAAAUAUGUCUUGUGUUUUAUAAAAAAAAAUUGGGGGGCCAGCCCCAUGACCUACUGGUUAAGUUCAGUGCGCUCUACAUUGGCAGCAUGGGUGCACGGGUUUGGAUCCUGGGAGUGGACGUACACCACUCAUCAACCAUGCUGUGGCAGUGACCCACAUAUAAAAUAGAGGAAGAUUGGUCCUGACGUGAGCUUAGGGUUAAUCUUCUGCAAGAAAAAAAGAGAGGCAGAUUGGCAACAGAUGUUAGUUCAGGGCUACUCUUCCUCAGAAAAAUAAAAUAAAAUAAAAUAAAAUUGUACUAUGAAGUAACAUGUUUCUAGAAAUUAUAAAAAGUAUUUAUAAAGUUGCCAAGUCACAGAAUACUAAUGUAAAAGAAAGGUUAUAAUUGCUUACAUAGUUUUUACUUAACAAUUGAGAUUUAUAAAGGUUAAAAAUUCUAAUAUAUGAUUAAAGCUACUAAAAUUAAGGAAAAUAUAUUUGUAUUCAAGGAAGUAAUAUGUAAGAUCUAUGUUUUCAGUAAAAAAGGUAUAAAAAAGGGAAAUGUUUUUGUUUGUUUAGUUUAGGAAGAUAAAUUGGUCCUAAAAUACUAGAAGGAAAGAAAGAAGGCAUGGAACAAAUUCUGAAUGUAAAAAGAAAAUUAUAAAAGUUUUGUGCGAGAGGAACCCUAAGAGAAAAGUUUUAUACAUGGUUAAGAUGGCCAAGAUUGAAAUAAAUUUAAUUGAGUUUUAAUAUCAAAAGUAAGCUGAUGCAAAAUUAGAAUUUUAUUUUUUCCUCCUCUCAAAAAGACAGUUUUCUUGAACUUUUAGUCUGCUCUUGAUAAAGAGAUAAUGAAAGGGUUUUUCUUUGAGUGUUCUACCAGAAGUGUAGGGACUUUAUGUUUUAUCAAAAUGAAUUUCCUGUAUUGUUUUUAUCAGGUCUUUAGUCACAGGUGCUAAGUUUUUCUUACAGCUAUUUAAUUCUCCUCAUUCACCUGACAACCUUAAUUGUCACAAUGGUUAAAUGGAUAACUAAGCAUUGUUUCAUAGGACCCAAAAUAUUGUGUGGGUAAAUGCUAUUGAUGUAAGUGUUUUAAAAAUUAGAUAACAUUCCUAAAAUUCUGAUCUUCCCUGGUUAUCAGUCAUAACUCUUGUUAUUAUUUUUGAGUGUUGUAUGUCAUAAAAAUAAUCAAAUUUCUUUGUCAAUUGCCAUUUUUAAGCCUUUUGUCACUUAUAGAAAGUUAUUGUUUUACUCGGAUGCUUUUGUAGAUGUUUUCCUCUUUAAAGAGAUUCAUGGAAAGAACUCUGAUGCUUACUCUAAAACACAGGUUUCUGAUAAACUUUCAGAUCAUAAAACUGAACUGGAUGAAAAAGAAUUACAAAAUUCUAAUGGUGAAACUGAUGACUUCAUGAAACUGCUAACAAAAGAUCAAGAACAAUUGAUUAUACGAGACUAAAUAAACUAAUGAGGAUGAUUUUAAUUUUCAC